rnacentral:rRNA from 1 species
UACGUAGGGUGCAAGCGUUGUCCGGAAUUAUUGGGCGUAAAGAGCUCGUAGGCGGUCUGUCGCGUCGGCUGUGAAAACCCGUGGCUCAACCGCGGGCCUGCAGUCGAUACGGGCAGACUAGAGUGCGGUAGGGGGAGACUGGAAUUCCUGGGUGUAGCGGUGAAAUGCGCAGAUAUCAGGAGGAACACCGGUGGGCGAAGGCGGG